AGGGCGCUCGCCCCGGGCCGCUGCCGCAGGUGCCCCGCUAAGGACGCAGGAGAGCCAGCAGGCCAGACCCGGGGCGGGUCCAGGGAAGGGGUCGAGGUCAGAAUCCUCCUCGAAACUGUGAUGUAGGCAAAACUUGUCUAUUCAAACUGUAGCUGAGAAGGAAGACGACGACCAGGAGCAGGAGGCAGAGGAUGGCAAAGGAAGGAAAAGCUAACAAAAGGACUAUUAAAUAUAUUGAAGAAAAACUAAGAUAAAGUUGAACAUAUUCCAAGAACCAAAGUGAAGGAGUAUUUGCUGGCCUAAGGGUAUGACUUUGGAAGGACCAAUCAGCUGUGGGAUGGAGUCAAGUGCCCUGAGCCUCAUCUUUGCGUGUGCAGGCUCAUAGUGCUAUGGGCUGAACG